rnacentral:rRNA from 1 species
GAGUUUGAUCGUGGCUCAGGAUGAACGCUAGCGGCAGGCUUAACACAUGCCAAGUCGAGGGGCAUCGGGAGGGAAGCUUGCUUUCCUUGCCGGCGACCGGCGCACGGGUGAGUAACACGUAUGCAACCUGCCCUCUUCAGGGGGACAACCUUCCGAAAGGGAGGCUAAUCCCGCGUAUAUCGGUUUCGGGCAUCCGUUAUCGAGGAAAGAUUCAUCGGAAGAGGAUGGGCAUGCGGCGCAUUAGCUAGACGGCGGGUAACGGCCCACCGUGGCGACGAUGCGUAGGGGUUCUGAGAGGAAGGUCCCCCACACUGGUACUGAGACACGGACCAGACUCCUACGGGAGGCAGCAGUGAGGAAUAUUGGUCAAUGGGAGAGAUCCUGAACCAGCCAAGCCGCGUGAGGGAAGACGGCCCUAUGGUUGUAAACCUCUUUGUCGGAGAACAAAACCCGGACGAGUCCCGGACUGCGUGUAUCCGAAGAAAAAGCAUCGGCUAACUCCGUGCCAGCCGCCGCCGUAAU